GUUGCCGCCAGCGCGAGCACACACCGAGGCGUGGAGGAGAAGAAACGCGGAGACGCGUCAGACCGAUCUUAUCCGCGUGCGAUCAAAUAAAACAGAGCGCGCGCCUGCUUUCCGAUCUGGCAACCCUGAGGGAUGCUUUGAAUGUGUGCUGAUGUGGGUCAGUGCACCGAUGGGCUUCUCUUUCACAUGGGUGUGUCCAUGCCUUGUGCAAUAAUGCAGUCCUGGAGGGAAUGUUCGUAAACUCUGUGUUAACAGAAAAGACCAAACCAAAUCGUUUUGUGUUUAAUGGCGAUGUAUUGAUGCACAGCGCCCUGUUGAAGCGAUUCCUGUACAGAAGUUGCACACUCCGUAACAUUUUUGAUUAAAGGUGCGGUUUGAAAUGUA